rnacentral:rRNA from 1 species
UGGAUCCAGACUUUGAUUAUGGCUCAGGACGAACGCUGGCGGCGUGCUUAACACAUGCAAGUCGAACGGGGUGUUUAUUUCGGUAAACACCAAGUGGCGAACGGGUGAGUAACGCGUAAGCAAUCUACCUUCAAGAUGGGGACAACACUUCGAAAGGGGUGCUUAUACCGAAUGAAUGUAAGAGUAUCGCAUGAGACACUUACUAAAGGAGGCCUCUGAAAAUGCUUCCGCUUGAAGAUGAGCUUGCGUCUGAUUAGCUAGUUGGUGAGGGUAAAGGCCCACCAAGGCGACGAUCAGUAGCCGGUCUGAGAGGAUGAACGGCCACAUUGGGACUGAGACACGGCCCAGACUCCUACGGGAGGCAGCAGUGGGGAAUCUUCCGCAAUGGGCGAAAGCCUGACGGAGCAACGCCGCGUGAACGAAGAAGGUCUUAGGAUCGUAAAGUUCUGUUGUUAGGGACGAAGGGUAAGAAUCAUAAUAAGGUUUUUAUUUGACGGUACCUAACGAGGAAGCCACGGCUAACUACGUGCCAGCAGCCGCGGUAAUACGUAGGCGGCAAGCGUUGUCCGGAAUUAUUGGGCGUAAAGGGAGCGCAGGCGGGAAACUAAGCGGAUCUUAAGAGUGCGGGGCUCAACCCCGUGAUGGGGUCCGAACUGGUUUUCUUGAGUGCAGGAGAGGAAAGCGGAAUUCCCAGUGUAGCGGUGAAAUGCGUAGAUAUUGGGAAGAACACCAGUGGCGAAGGCGGCUUUCUGGACUGUAACUGACGCUGAGGCUCGAAAGCUAGGGUAGCGAACGGGAUUAGAUACCCCGGUAGUCCUAGCCGUAAACGAUGGAUACUAGGUGUGGGAGGUAUCGACCCCUUCCGUGCCGGAGUUAACGCAAUAAGUAUCCCGCCUGGGGAGUACGGCCGCAAGGUUGCAACUCAAAGGAAUUGACGGA